rnacentral:lncRNA from 1 species
UGCUUGGUUGCCCUUUUCUGGGGCCCUCGGCGCCACUGGUCACGCAUGGACGCUUGCUGGCCCCCUUCAGGGGCCUCAGGGGUGAUGUUCGUGCAACCAUGCCUGGAUUCCCUUCUGAGGGGCGCUAAGCGCCAACAGAAGGAGCUGCACCAUGCUGCUUGCGUUCUGAGGGGCGCUGAGAGCCAGUCAGCUAUGCCAUAGAGUGUUGACUCACUGGCAAGUGUACCAGAUCGUUCCAAGUAAUAUAAUCGGUAAAACCUAAUAUCGUUCUUC